rnacentral:lncRNA from 10 species
UAACUAUUUUCCUAGCCACCGGACAGGUAAAGAGACAGAGACUGAGAGGCGAGACCUCACCUCAGACCAUGUGGCAGGACAGCUGCCACUCACCUGAUUCCAUGUGGCUUGAGAGCCACGGAGCCAGAGUAGCACUUGGGUCAUGGCAGGGCUGAGCCCUUCACCUAAACUCACACAUGGGUCAUGGCAGGGCUGAGCCCUUCACCUAAACUCACACAU